rnacentral:lncRNA from 1 species
AUGGAGGAACUGAAGGUCUUGGAGCAAACAAAGCUAAGAGGAAAUGUUCUAUCACAGUUGAGAACUUCACCCCUGGAGGGCCUGGUCUGUGACCCCUCCUUGCCUUGGGAUGUGGCUGCUACCAGCAAGGGGAAACUCUCCUGUCCAUGGCAUGGGGGCUUGUUCCUCCUCACCAUGAUGAAACAUGCCCUGGAUCCCAGAUGUCCUUCAUCCUCUGACCUGCUUGGGCCUGGAUUGGGAGCUACUUCUGCCCUCCUGGCUGUUUGUGGCAGCCAGAGAGCACCUGAUUCUUGUCUCCCAGACCUUAAACCACAGCCUGGCAGCCUCCAAGGGAUCCUCCCUGCUUGGGGUGCUGUUUGUGGGACUGCUGGUGGCUCUGGAUCCCAAGGAGCGUUCCCAUCCCAUCACCACCGGCUGCCAGCAUCGGGAUCACGGCCACCCAGGGAGUUGGACAUCACGGAGCUGGACACACACCAGGGAGCCGACUCGCUUCUGACACCGAGCUCAGUCUCCAAACAUAAAAGAAGAGAAAGUCAGGACAGAAAAGCAUUGGAGCUUUCUUCUUCCUCCACACCUGCUGUUCCUGGUCGUCAGGCACUUCCAAAGAGGAGAGUUCUCCAAGUUCCCAGUCAUUACCCUUUACAUAAGCAUAAUAUAGUGCUGCACUUCCUACAGGGAAGCUAUCUAUUGUAG